AUUGAACGCUGGCGGCAGGCCUAACACAUGCAAGUCGAGCGGAUGAAGGGAGCUUGCUCCUGGAUUCAGCGGCGGACGGGUGAGUAAUGCCUAGGAAUCUGCCUGGUAGUGGGGGAUAACGUCCGGAAACGGGCGCUAAUACCGCAUACGUCCUGAGGGAGAAAGUGGGGGAUCUUCGGACCUCACGCUAUCAGAUGAGCCUAGGUCGGAUUAGCUAGUUGGUGGGGUAAAGGCCUACCAAGGCGACGAUCCGUAACUGGUCUGAGAGGAUGAUCAGUCACACUGGAACUGAGACACGGUCCAGACUCCUACGGGAGGCAGCAGUGGGGCAUAUUGGACGAUGGGCGAAAGCCUGAUCCAGCCAUGCCGCGUGUGUGAAGAAGGUCUUCUGAUUGUAAAGCACUUUAAGUUGGGAGGAAGGGCAGUAAGUUAAUACCUUGCUGUUUUGACGUUACCAACAGAAUAAGCGCCGGCUAACUUCGUG
rnacentral:rRNA from 1 species